GGCGAACGCUGGCGGCGUGCCUAAUACAUGCAAGUCGAGCGCAGGAAACUGACGGAACUCUUCGGAGGGAAGGCAGUGGAAUGAGCGGCGGACGGGUGAGUAACACGUAAGGAACCUGCCUCAAGGAUUGGGAUAACUCCGAGAAAUCGGAGCUAAUACCGGAUAGUUCAACGGACCGCAUGGUCCGUUGAUGAAAGGCGCUCCGGCGUCACCUUGAGAUGGCCUUGCGGUGCAUUAGCUAGUUGGUGGGGUAACGGCUCACCAAGGCGACGAUGCAUAGCCGAACUGAGAGGGUGGUCGGCCACACUGGGACUGAGACACGGCCCAGACUCCUACGGGAGGCAGCAGUAGGGAAUCUUCCACAAUGGACGAAAGUCUGAUGGAGCAACGCCGCGUGAGUGAUGAAGGUUUUCGGAUCGUAAAACUCUGUUGUAAGGGAAGAACACGUACGAGAGGAAAUGCUCGUACCUUGACGGUACCUUACGAGAAAGCCACGGCUAACUACGUGCCAGCCGCCGCCGUAA
rnacentral:rRNA from 1 species